rnacentral:rRNA from 1 species
GAUGAACGCUAGCGGCAGGCCUAAUACAUGCAAGUCGAACGGGAUCCAGAUCAAAGCUUGCUUUGGUCUGGUGAGAGUGGCGCACGGGUGCGUAACGCGUGAGCAACCUACCCUUGUCAGGGGGAUAGCCCGGCGAAAGUCGGAUUAAUACCGCAUGACAUCAUUGAGAGGCAUCUUUCGAUGAUCAAAGAUUUAUCGGACAAGGAUGGGCUCGCGUGACAUUAGCUAGUUGGUAAGGUAACGGCUUACCAAGGCUGCGAUGUCUAGGGGCUCUGAGAGGAGAAUCCCCCACACUGGUACUGAGACACGGACCAGACUCCUACGGGAGGCAGCAGUAAGGAAUAUUGGUCAAUGGACGGAAGUCUGAACCAGCCAUGCCGCGUGCAGGAAGACGGCCCUAUGGGCUGUAAACUGCUUUUAUACGGGAACAAACGUCGGUACGUGUACCGGUCUGAGUGUACCGUAAGAAUAAGGAUCGGCUAACUCCGUG